rnacentral:rRNA from 1 species
CGGCGGACGGGUGAGUAACGCGUGGGUAACCUGCCUCGUACAGGGGGAUAACAGUUGGAAACGGCUGCUAAUACCGCAUAAGCGCACAGUACCGCAUGGUACGGUGUGAAAAACUCCGGUGGUAUGAGAUGGACCCGCGUCUGAUUAGCUAGUUGGUGAGGUAACGGCCCACCAAGGCAACGAUCAGUAGCCGACCUGAGAGGGUGACCGGCCACAUUGGGACUGAGACACGGCCCAG